UCGGGAAUAUUGGACAAUGGGCGCAAGCCUGAUCCAGCCAUGCCGCGUGAGUGAUGAAGGCCCUAGGGUUGUAAAGCUCUUUCACCGGUGAAGAUAAUGACGGUAACCGGAGAAGAAGCCCCGGCUAACUUCGUGCCAGCAGCCGCGGUAAUACGAAGGGGGCUAGCGUUGUUCGGAUUUACUGGGCGUAAAGCGCACGUAGGCGGACUUUUAAGUCAGGGGUGAAAUCCCGGGGCUCAACCCCGGAACUGCCUUUGAUACUGGAAGUCUUGAGUAUGGUAGAGGUGAGUGGAAUUCCGAGUGUAGAGGUGAAAUUCGUAGAUAUUCGGAGGAACACCAGUGGCGAAGGCGGCUCACUGGACCAUUACUGACGCUGAGGUGCGAAAGCGUGGGGAGCAAACAGG
rnacentral:rRNA from 1 species